rnacentral:misc_RNA from 1 species
CGGAUAACCCUGCGUCCGGUAUCCGCCACCUCCGCAUUCGCGUUGAGGAUGUUGACUACGCCGACCUCCUCAUCCACCUUCCCAGCGCGUGUCGUUUCAUAUAUGAUGCUAUCAACUCGGGCGGGGUGGUGCUCGUGCACUGUGUGCAGGGCCUAUCGCGUAGCGCUACCGUUGUUGCCGCGUACUUGAUGUAUUCUCGGCGCAUCGGAGCCAGCGAAGCCAUGGAGAUGGUCCGCAGAGCCCGCGAACAGGUCUGGAUCAUCCCCGGUUUCCAAGAACAACUCGUUCUAUUCG